CUCCUCCUAGAAUCAAUGCAACUGAUGUUACUGCCAACAGGCUCAAUAAUGUAAUCAGAUUUCAGCUCAAUCCAGACGUAUAUGAUGUUAUAGCCAUCAGGCAGAAUCGCAACAUCAGACCCAGACGCAUGGGGCGCCACAGCGGAUCAUCCGCAUGUUUGAUUUGGCACAUG